AAAACAGGGGACCCAGUGUGGGUU
rnacentral:piRNA from 1 species